AGUGAACGCUGGCGGUAGGCCUAACACAUGCAAGUCGAACGGCGGCACAGUAAGAGCUUGCUCUUACGGGUGGCGAGUGGCGGACGGGUGAGGAAUACAUCGGAAUCUACUUUUUCGUGGGGGAUAACGUAGGGAAACUUACGCUAAUACCGCAUACGACCUACGGGUGAAAGCAGGGGAUCUUCGGACCUUGCGCGAUUGAAUGAGCCGAUGUCGGAUUAGCUAGUUGGCGGGGUAAAGGCCCACCAAGGCGACGAUCCGUAGCUGGUCUGAGAGGAUGAUCAGCCACACUGGAACUGAGACACGGUCCAGACUCCUACGGGAGGCAGCAGUGGGGAAUAUUGGACAAUGGGCGCAAGCCUGAUCCAGCCAGACCGCGUGGGUGAAGAAGGCCUUCGGGUUGUAAAGCCCUUUUGUUGGGAAAGAAAAGCAGCAGGUUAAGACCCCGCUGUUCUGACGGUACCCAAAGAAUAAGCACCGGCUAACUUCGUG
rnacentral:rRNA from 1 species